GUCCACGCCGUAAACGAUGAGUACUAAGUGUCGGGCAAAACCGCGUACUGAAGUUAACACAUUUAAGUACUCCGCCUGAGUAGUACGUACGCAAGUAUGAAACUUAAAGGAAUUGACGGGACUCCGCACAAGCGGUGGAUCAUGUUGUUUAAUUCGAAGAUACACGAAAAACCUUACCAGGUCUUGACAUUUUCUUGCGAAGUUAUAGAAAUAUAAUGGAGGUUAUCAGGAAAACAGGUGGUGCAUGGUUGUCGUCAGCUCGUGUCGUGAGAUGUUAGGUUAAGUCCUAAAACGAGCGCAACCCUUGUCGUUAAUUGCCAGCAUGUAAUGAUGGGGACUUUAACGAGACUGCCAAUGAAAAAUUGGAGGAAGGUGGGGAUUACGUCAAAUCAUCAUGCCCCUUAUGAUCUGGGCUACAAACGUGAUACAAUGGUUGAUACAAAGAGUAGCUGAAACGCGAGUUCUUAGCCAAUCUCACAAAAUCAAUCUCAGUUCGGAUUGAAGUCUGCAACUCGACUUCAUGAAGUUGGAAUCGCUAGUAAUCGCGAAUCAGCAUGUCGCGGUGAAUACGUUCUCGGGGUUUGUACACACCGCCCGUCAAACCACGAAAGUUGGCAAUACCCCAAAGCGGUCGCCUAACUUCGUAAGAAGAAGGAUCCGUCUAAGGUAGGGUCGAUAAUUGGGGUUAAGUCGUAACAAGGUAUCCCUACCGGAAGGUGGGGAUGGAUCACCUCCUUUCUAAGGAAACAAUAAAAUUAUCAUCUUCAGUUUUGAAAGACUUAGAAAAUUAAUAAGUUUUUCUUUUUUAAGGCAUUAAGGGCCUAUAGCUCAGCUGGUUAGAGCACACGCCUGAUAAGCGUGAGGUCGGUGGUUCAAGUCCAUUUAGGCCCACCAGUUUAUUUUAAAAGUUAUAAGCGUUGUCUUAAAAAAAGUUCUUUGAAAAGUAGAUAAACAU
rnacentral:misc_RNA from 1 species